rnacentral:rRNA from 1 species
GUAAUGCGUAGGAAGCUACCCGAUAGAGGGGGAUACCAGUUGGAAACGACUGUUAAUACCGCAUAAUGUCUACGGACCAAAGUGUGGGACCUUCGGGCCACAUGCUAUCGGAUGCGCCUACGUGGGAUUAGCUAGUUGGUGAGGUAAUGGCUCACCAAGGCGACGAUCUCUAGCUGGUUUGAGAGGAUGAUCAGCCACACUGGAACUGAGACACGGUCCAGACUCCUACGGGAGGCAGCAGUGGGGAAUAUUGGACAAUGGGCGCAAGCCUGAUCCAGCCAUGCCGCGUGUGUGAAGAAGGCCUUAGGGUUGUAAAGCACUUUCAGCGAGGAGGAAGGGGUUGUAGUUAAUAGCUGCAAUCUUUGCCGUUACUCGCAGAAGAAGCACCGGCUAACUUUGUGCCAGCAGCCGCGGUAAUACAGAGGGUGCAAGCGUUAAUCGGAAUUACUGGGCGUAAAGCGCACGCAGGCGGUUGGUUAAGUCAGAUGUGAAAGCCCCGGGCUCAACCUGGGAAUUGCAUUUGAAACUGGCCAACUAGAGUAUGUGAGAGGGGGGUAGAAUUCCAAGUGUAGCGGUGAAAUGCGUAGAGAUUUGGAGGAAUACCAGUGGCGAAGGCGGCCCCCUGGCACAAUACUGACGCUCAGGUG